UCACUCACCAGGCAGGGGAGACACCACGAUCACAAAUAUGGUUUUCCCAGGGUGAGGCUUAUCCAUUGUACAACAGAUGUGCUGACCCCUGCAAUCUCCCCAAAUGUAGAAAACUCAACUGCAUAGUUUGUGGUAGUGGAGGACUGGGGUGGGGGGAAGGCCCGCUA